rnacentral:lncRNA from 1 species
CCCCCCCCCCCCCCCCCCCCCCCCCCCCCCCCCCCCCCCCCCCCCCCCCCCCCCCCCCCCCCCCCCCCCCCCUGAUGCCGCUCUCGGGGCCGGGACACCCCUCCCCGGCCCCCGCGGCACCGAAAAGCCACGCUCGGUGCCGGACCAGACAGCGCUCCCUAAUGAGGGAGCAUUACAAUCAGCUUGUAAUGCUGAAUUUUUAAUGCUGCCCAGGGCUCUGUUACAUAAUAAAGGGGGAACCGGGAGCAGAGGGCGGCCGGUGGGCACGCAGCUGGUGGCCCCGGCCCGGUGGGCACCCCUCGCACCCCCGACCCGCCGCUUACCGCCAGCGCUGCCGGACAGGGCGCGCACGACGCCCAUCGGAGCUCCUGCCCUGCCGGGAGGCUUGCACAAACUUUCCUCAAGUGCGUGGAGGGGUGAUGCCAAAACGCUGGCUCCGCACUCUGCCGCGGCUCGGCCGGGAAAUGAUUUAAAAGCAAAGUUCACGAGCAUGUUAACGGCAUGCUCUCGUAUGUCCCCGCACACACGGGCUGCGCUGCGCCGCUCGGAUUCCUGCACCUUGAGUCGUAUUCGAACUCAAUGUGACCCUAAGGAGGGAGUCACCGAGUCUCCAGAAAAUUGCUCCAUAUUAAACAGAAGCAAGAAGAGGAGAAAGACAGACAGCCGGCGCAGGGGGGACACGGUUGCGUUAGAGUCCAGGACAUAGCGAGAGCAGCCCCGAGCACAGCGGGAGAAAGAAACAGACCUCGCUCGGAACCAAUUUUUGUUUGUUUGUUUGUUUGUUUGUUUUAAAAGAGAAAAAAAAAAGGGGGCCCCCCCCCCCCCCCCCCCCCCCCCCCCCGGGGGGGGGGGCGAGUGAAACUGAAUAAUUUAAAAAAAAAAAAAAAAAAGACAAAGACACAAACGCAACCCGAAUUAUAAAUAAUUCACAGUCCGAAUCCCGCGUGUGCGUGGCACCCACGCACGCCGUGCACAGCCGGGGCACGCUCACAGAGACAGACACAGACACGAUCCCCUCGCAGGCAGCGAGCGGCCCCCCCCCCCCCCCCCCCCCCCCCCCCCCCCCCCCCCCCCCCCCCCCCCCCCCCCCCCCCCCCCCCCCCCCCCCCC